AUGCAAGAAAAUGGUGUGAAUUGUGGUGUUGUAGAGUGGGUUGAUGGGCCUUGGCCUACUGUUCUUCAGAGAUGUUUGUGCAAGCUAUGGGAAAUGUUCCAUGAGCAGAACUGUGGAAGGGUACUUGACAAGGAGAAUUUUGAGAAGGAGUUGGCCAAGCUUAAGAGUGAACAUGAAAGGGAGUUGGCCAAGCUUAGGACUGAAAAUGACAAGCUUUGCAUUGAGUACACCAAGCUUGUUGAUGAUGUAUCCAAGAUGUUUGAUUGGCAGGAUGGUAGGGUGGACAAGAAGGUGUACCAGAAACAAGUGGAGGAGGAAGAACUUGAGAAGAAGAAGAAGGAGCUAGAGGAGAAAGCUAUGCUGGAGGUG
rnacentral:rRNA from 1 species